rnacentral:rRNA from 1 species
UACGUAGGGUGCGAGCGUUAAUCGGAAUUACUGGGCGUAAAGCGUGCGCAGGCGGUUUUGUAAGUCUGACGUGAAAUCCCCGGGCUUAACCUGGGAAUUGCGUUGGAGACUGCAAGGCUGGAGUCUGGCAGAGGGGGGUAGAAUUCCACGUGUAGCAGUGAAAUGCGUAGAGAUGUGGAGGAACACCGAUGGCGAAGGCAGCCCCCUGGGUCAAGACUGACGCUCAUGCACGAAAGCGUGGGGAGCAACAGG